UACGUAGGGUGCAAGCGUUGUCCGGAAUUAUUGGGCGUAAAGCGCACGUAGGCGGACUCUUAAGUCGGUGGUGAAAUCCUGGAGCUCAACUCCAGAACUGCCUUCGAUACUGAGAGUCUUGAGUCCGGGAGAGGUGAGUGGAACUGCGAGUGUAGAGGUGAAAUUCGUAGAUAUUCGCAAGAACACCAGUGGCGAAGGCGGCUCACUGGCCCGGUACUGACGCUGAGGUGCGAAAGCGUGGGGAGCAAACAGG
rnacentral:rRNA from 1 species